AAUGAACGCUGGCGGCGUGCUUAACACAUGCAAGUCGAACGAGAAAGUACCUUCGGGUGCGAGUAGAGUGGCGCACGGGUGAGUAACACGUAGGUGAUCUACCUUUUGGUGGGGGAUAACCAGGAGAAAUCCUGGCUAAUACCGCAUAAGUAAGAAAUUAGAAAGGAUGCUCCGGCAUUCGCCGAAAGAUGAGCCUGCGGGACAUUAGCUUGAUGGUGGGGUAAUGGCCUACCAUGGCUUCGAUGUCUAGCUGGUCGGAGAGGAUGAUCAGCCACACUGGAACUGAGACACGGUCCAGACUCCUACGGGAGGCAGCAGUGGGGAAUAUUGCGCAAUGGGGGAAACCCUGGCGCAGCAACGCCGCGUGAGUGAGGAAGGCCCUCGGGUCGUAAAGCUCUGUCAGAUGGGAAGAAACUACAGUGGUCCAAUAGGCCAUUGUACUGACGGUACCUUCAAAGGAAGCACC
rnacentral:rRNA from 1 species